rnacentral:rRNA from 1 species
GGUUUACCUGUGUGACUGCGUACCUUUUGUAUAAUGGGUCAGCGACUUAUAUUCUGUAGCAAGGUUAACCGUAUAGGGGAGCCGGAGGGAAACCGAGUCUUAAUUGGGCGUUAAGUUGCAGGGUAUAGACCCGAAACCCGGUGAUCUAGCCAUGGGCAGGUUGAAGGUUGGGUAACACUAACUGGAGGACCGAACCGACUAAUGUUGAAAAAUUAGCGGAUGACCUGUGGCUGGGGGUGAAAGGCCAAUCAAACCGGGAGAUAGCUGGUUCUCCCCGAAAGCUAUUUAGGUAGCGCCUCGUGAAUUCAUCUCCGGGGGUAGAGCACUGUUUCGGCUAGGGGGCCAUCCCGGCUUACCAACCCGAUGCAAACUGCGAAUACCGGAGAAUGUUAUCACGGGAGACACACGGCGGGUGCUAACGUCCGUCGUGAAGAGGGAAACAACCCAGACCGCCAGCUAAGGUCCCAAAGUCAUGGUUAAGUGGGAAACGAUGUGGGAAGGCCCAGACAGCCAGGAUGUUGGCUUAGAAGCAGCCAUCAUUUAAAGAAAGCGUAAUAGCUCACUGGUCGAGUCGGCCUGCGCGGAAGAUGUAACGGGGCUAAACCAUGCACCGAAGCUGCGGCAGCGACACUGUGUGUUGUUGGGUAGGGGAGCGUUCUGUAAGCCUGUGAAGGUGUGUCGUGAGGCAUGCUGGAGGUAUCAGAAGUGCGAAUGCUGACAUAAGUAACGAUAAAGCGGGUGAAAAGCCCGCUCGCCGGAAGACCAAGGGUUCCUGUCCAACGUUAAUCGGGGCAGGGUGAGUCGACCCCUAAGGCGAGGCCGAAAGGCGUAGUCGAUGGGAAACGGGUUAAUAUUCCCGUACUUGGUGUUACUGCGAAGGGGGGACGGAGAAGGCUAUGUUGGCCGGGCGACGGUUGUCCCGGUUUAAGCGUGUAGGUGUGUGUUCCAGGUAAAUCCGGUUCACUUUAACACUGAGGCGUGACGACGAGGCACUACGGUGCUGAAGCAACAAAUGCCCUGCUUCCAGGAAAAGCCUCUAAGCAUCAGGUAACAUCAAAUCGUACCCCAAACCGACACAGGUGGUCAGGUAGAGAAUACCAAGGCGCUUGAGAGAACUCGGGUGAAGGAACUAGGCAAAAUGGUGCCGUAACUUCGGGAGAAGGCACGCUGACACGUAGGUGAAGUGAUUUACUCAUGGAGCUGAAGUCAGUCGAAGAUACCAGCUGGCUGCAACUGUUUAUUAAAAACACAGCACUGUGCAAACACGAAAGUGGACGUAUACGGUGUGACGCCUGCCCGGUGCCGGAAGGUUAAUUGAUGGGGUCAGCGCAAGCGAAGCUCCUGAUCGAAGCCCCGGUAAACGGCGGCCGUAACUAUAACGGUCCUAAGGUAGCGAAAUUCCUUGUCGGGUAAGUUCCGACCUGCACGAAUGGCGUAAUGAUGGCCAGGCUGUCUCCACCCGAGACUCAGUGAAAUUGAACUCGCUGUGAAGAUGCAGUGUACCCGCGGCAAGACGGAAAGACCCCGUGAACCUUUACUAUAGCUUGACACUGAACAUUGAGCCUUGAUGUGUAGGAUAGGUGGGAGGCUUUGAAGCGUGGACGCCAGUCUGCGUGGAGCCGACCUUGAAAUACCACCCUUUAAUGUUUGAUGUUCUAACGUGGACCCGUGAUCCGGGUUGCGGACAGUGUCUGGUGGGUAGUUUGACUGGGGCGGUCUCCUCCUAAAGAGUAACGGAGGAGCACGAAGGUUGGCUAAUCCUGGUCGGACAUCAGGAGGUUAGUGCAAUGGCAUAAGCCAGCUUGACUGCGAGCGUGACGGCGCGAGCAGGUGCGAAAGCAGGUCAUAGUGAUCCGGUGGUUCUGAAUGGAAGGGCCAUCGCUCAACGGAUAAAAGGUACUCCGGGGAUAACAGGCUGAUACCGCCCAAGAGUUCAUAUCGACGGCGGUGUUUGGCACCUCGAUGUCGGCUCAUCACAUCCUGGGGCUGAAGUAGGUCCCAAGGGUAUGGCUGUUCGCCAUUUAAAGUGGUACGCGAGCUGGGUUUAGAACGUCGUGAGACAGUUCGGUCCCUAUCUGCCGUGGGCGCUGGAGAACUGAGGGGGGCUGCUCCUAGUACGAGAGGACCGGAGUGGACGCAUCACUGGUGUUCGGGUUGUCAUGCC